GACCGCUUCGGUGACCUUGUGGUUAGAGCAUCUGCCUCGGUUGCAGGAGGUUUUGGGUUCGAACCCCAGCUGAGUCA